CUCGUGAGACACAGUGUCAAAUGCCUUGGC
rnacentral:sRNA from 1 species